GAUAAGAUGGCUGAGAACUUAUUUAAGCGAAAGACUGUAAAUCUUUUAACGGGUCUAAAUUCCCUCUUAUCU
rnacentral:tRNA from 1 species